rnacentral:lncRNA from 10 species
GGGAGAGGGCCCUCAUUGGAAACCAAUUGGCCAGCACCCUGAUCUUGUACUUCCUAGGAAUAGAUGUCUGUUGCUUAAGCCCUCCAGUCUGUGGUAUUUGUUAUGGGCACCUGAGCAGAAGAAGACAGGUCCAAAUGCCUUAAUGCUUCUCUAACUAGUUCUCUACCAAAUGGUUUCAGAGAGCCAGGAACGAUGCUAAAGCUUCCUGAUUCGUGACCCUGGCUAAGCAAAUGUAACGGCCCCAUUGACUCGCAGCCAUUGGAGAACUGAGCUUAAGAAUCUUUUGGCGGUCUGGAAACUUGGAAAAAGAAAGGGGCAACGUAUCCCACUUGAGCCAAGGCCAUACUUUCCCGGCUGCUCAGAAGACAUUUCUCUGUCUCCCCUGCUCUUCCCCAUCUUGAAUGUGGAUGUCCUGGCUGGGAACACAGCAGCCAACUCGUGAGUGUGGGUAACAAGCAGGGACAAAAGACCACCAGAGUCACAGAGACGCAGCUGCGGUGACACCGAGGUG